rnacentral:rRNA from 1 species
UACGUAGGGGGCAAGCGUUGUCCGGAAUCAUUGGGCGUAAAGAGCGUGUAGGCGGCCAGAUAAGUCCGCUGUGAAAUCUCGAGGCUCAACUUCGAGCUGUCGGUGGAAACUGUCUGGCUAGAGUCCGGAAGAGGAGAAUGGAAUUCCUGGUGUAGCGGUGAAAUGCGCAGAUAUCAGGAAGAACACCCGUGGCGAAGGCGGUUCUCUGGGACGGUACUGACGUUGAGACGCGAAAGCGUGGGGAGCGAACAGG